GGGUACGCGAAUGGCGCACUAUCGAAACCCAAUCUAUCAUCUCGGCGGUUAGGGCGAUAUAGCAUCGAGGUGGCGUUGAAUAAUUUUCAACGCAAAAACUCCCGUAUAUUUACACUACUGAACCACUUGUAGGAUGCAACUCGUUGCACUGAUUGGUAAUAAACUAUCACAGAGGGCAAAAAAAACAGUACCGAAUCGAUAGGCGGUUUGGUUACCGGAAAAUGCGCGUUUUCUGAGCCAUCCUGCGAUCGCUCUGAUAGCUGAUACCCGCGAAUUGCAACUGGGGCCGAUUCCGUCCGUUCAUCACACAUAUGGGACGUGUGUUGUUACGCCCAGGAAAGCGUUCGUGUCAGGCGCCUCUCAUAUUCCCACAUACCAGCGACUAGAGUAUGAGUAAAAAAGUUUAAAACAGAGAGUGCGAGGAAAAUGGUCUACACACUAGAUGUGUGCGGGAAAAAAGCAGCGGGUGGCAUGGCAGCAGCAAGGCAUUGGGAAAAUCUGAUCCAAGAAGGCGAUCGGGUGUGGUGAAGGAAGCGCCCGGUGAGCUACUAUAGAGACAGCUCAAGAAAGCAGGAGGACAACGACGAGAUUGGUUCACAGAACUAACCAGAUAGAGUGGGAUAGACAAAGCGGCAAGAAGAGCAACAAUAAUGUAAGCCAAAGUUUAUGAGAUUAAUAAAAUAAAAAUAAAUCGUGAAACAGGGAGCAGACGGCCGAGGAAAAAAUGGAAAGAAAAAACAUCAACCAUCGGGUAACACGCGAGGAUGUGCCUACUCUGGACUUGGUUUCGCUUACGCUGGCGGUUUUCUAGUAAUACAAUUGAUUACUUGCAAAUUGAAGCAACAUCAACAGUCUUCAGAUUCAUCAAAAUUAACGGCGUCAAAGUUAAGAUCCAGAUGCCAAUGUUUGACGUUCAAAUUGGUUUUUCUUUACGUCAGUCCUGACCUCAUGGUUUAUAUUCCUCACCAUUAUUCGAAAAUUCUCAAUGAGAAUUGUUGAGUAAUUAAAAUUUUGAUAUCAACGACCUUUCAGAAACGUCGAAAUAAAUGGGUACCACUUCUCUACUACAUUGUCCUUUGAUUACAAGCGGUACCUAAGUUAGAUAGAUCUCAGUAUACUUCUUAAGGCAUUCUAGAAUUCAAGUGCCAUGAAAUUUUCGGCAACUGCAAGGGACAUGAAUGUCUUUAUUUCAUCUUUGGUCCUAGUUUUGCUCGAAAAUGUAUACCCCUCGUAUAAUACCACUUGUAACGAUGAGAGCAAACUUUUAUGGUGGUAAGCUCCAUCGAAGUUAAUACGCCGAUCGCGUAUUAACUUCGAUGGAGCUUACCACCAUUAGUGUAUUGUUCAUUCCCAAAUUAUUUACUGAACUAUAAGAACAUGAAAGACCACUUUCAGCAAGUGCUCCCGUUCCCAUCUCAUCUCAAAUUACAGUAUCCAAUUUCAACCCAUUUAAAUCUCUUCCUCGAGCACUGCGAGCAACAGGUGACUAACAUAAAUUUGAUGGAUGUAGUCGUUAGCCUAAA